rnacentral:rRNA from 1 species
AACGAACGCUGGCGGCAUGCCUAACACAUGCAAGUCGAACGAGACCUUCGGGUCUAGUGGCGCACGGGUGCGUAACGCGUGGGAAUCUGCCCUCAGGUACGGAACAACUCAGGGAAACUU